rnacentral:rRNA from 1 species
GACGAACGCUGGCGGCGUGCUUAACGCAUGCAAGUCGAACGGUAAGGCCCUUCGGGGUACACGAGUGGCGAACGGGUGAGUAACACGUGGGUGAUCUGCCCUGCACUUCGGGAUAAGCCUGGGAAACUGGGUCUAAUACCGGAUAGGACCACUGCCUGCAUGGGUGGUGGGGGAAAGCUUUUGCGGUGUGGGAUGGGCCCGCGGGCUAUCGGCUUGUUGGUGGGGUGAUGGCCUACCAAGGCGAAGACGGGUAGCCGGACUGAGAGGGUGACCGGCCGCACUGGGACUGAGAUACGGCCCAGACUCCUACGGGAGGCAGCAGUGGGGAAUAUUGCACAAUGGGCGCAAGCCUGAUGCAGCGACGCCGCGUGAGGGAUGACGGCCUUCGGGUUGUAAACCUCUUUCAGCACCGACGAAGCGCAAGUGACGGUAGGUGCAGAAGAAGGACCGGCCAACUACGUGCCAGCCGCCGCCGUAA